CAUUCUUCUUUAACCCAAUAUAAGUAUCUUUAUGUUGGAUAUAACUUCUAUUCGAAGUUUUAAGUUCAUGAUCUAUUGUACUGAUGAUGAGAGUUCUAGAACGCUUGUGAGGCUAUUGCUGAUAGUUUACAUUCAUGCAUUAUGAAUUCAUGAGUAUUAGUAAUGAUGCAAGUGCUCGAAGCGAUUAUUUUCUUGUCCCCAAGUCUGCCUACAAAAAAAUACCCUACAUUUAUUUUGUUGUCAUGUUUAUUUUAUUCUAGACUGUAAUGAAGAAUAUUGUGUAUGUUGAAAUUAGCUUGUUUGUUAUACGAAUGAGGCUGGUUCAUUUUGUGCUAUGUUCUUUCUUUUGUCAACAGAAUUGCAAAGGAUCCACGAUUUGAAAGGCUUCCUUGUAUUCACAAAGGAACUUAUGCUGAUGAUUGUCUUGUUGACAGGGUUACGCAGCACAAGUGCUGCAUUGUUGCAACCUGUGAUCGGGACCUGAAGAGGAGAAUCCGUAAGAUCCCUGGCGUGCCAAUUAUGUACAUUACAAAGCACCAAUAUUCCAUUGAACGUCUACCUGAGGCUA